GGUUCUUCCAGCUCCGAGAUGGAAAAGAAGCUAGACCUGCCUGAGCUGUGGCCAGAGAGGUUCCCAGACUCCACACGUUGGGCUGCUGCUACCUGUUUCUGAAGUGCCUCAUUUCUCUCUGGAGGGGCGCUCUGCAGCAAAAGAUUUCCUUGCAGCAUCUGCCAACCGACCCACAUUCAGAUAUGAAGAGAUACAAACGUUUAAAUACUUACUGAAAAGAGGAGA